GAUGAACGCUGGCGGCGUGCCUAAUACAUGCAAGUCGAGCAAAUGGAUUAAGAGCUUGCUCUUAUGAAGUUAGCGGCGGACGGGUGAGUAACACGUGGGUAACCUGCCCAUAAGACUGGGAUAACUCCGGGAAACCGGGGCUAAUGCCGGAUAACAUUUUGAACCGCAUGGUUCGAAAUUGAAAGGCGGCUUCGGCUGUCACUUAUGGAUGGGCCCGCGUCGCAUUAGCUAGUUGGUGAGGUAACGGCUCACCAAGGCAACGAUGCGUAGCCGACCUGAGAGGGUGAUCGGCCACACUGGGACUGAGACACGGCCCAGACUCCUACGGGAGGCAGCAGUAGGGAAUCUUCCGCAAUGGACGAAAGUCUGACGGAGCAACGCCGCGUGAGUGAUGAAGGCUUUCGGGUCGUAAAACUCUGUUGUUAGGGAAGAACAAGUGCUAGUUGAAUAAGCUGGCACCUUGACGGUACCUAACCAGAAAGCCACGGCUAACUACGUGCCAGCCGCCGCCGUAA
rnacentral:rRNA from 1 species